UACGAAGGGGAGCUAGCGUUGUUCGGAAUCACUGGGCGUGAAGCGCACGUAGGCGGAUGUGUCAGUCAGGGGUGAAAUCCCGGAGCUCAACUUCGGAACUGCCUUUGAUACAGCACGUCUUGAGUCCGAUAGAGGUGGGUGGAAUUCCUAGUGUAGAGGUGAAAUUCGUAGAUAUUAGGAAGAACACCGGUGGCGAAGGCGGCCCACUGGAUCGGUACUGACGCUGAGGUGCGAAAAGCGUGGGGAGCAAACAGGAUUAGAACUACCCUGGU
rnacentral:rRNA from 1 species